rnacentral:pre_miRNA from 1 species
AUGGUACUCCCUCCGUCCCAUAUUAAGUGACUUUCUAUUACAUGUAUCUAGACACUUUUAGACAUAGAUACAUCAAUCUUUGGACAAAUUUGAGUAACUUAUUAUGGGAUGGAGGGAGUACAAU